ensembl:processed_transcript
UGAACACUGGCGAGAUGACUCUGCUGUGGUUUGUGCAAAGGAACAAUGUCCAGGGAAGCACAUCUACAAAGAAUGUGGACCUUCAAAUCCUCCAACGUGCUCCAAUGUGGCUCCCUUUCAAGACAGUGAAUGUGUGAGUGGCUGCACCUGUCCAGAAGGUUACCUAUUGGAUGACAUUGGAGAGAAAGGAAAGUGUGUAUUAAAGGAAAAAUGUCCCUGUGAAUCUAAUGGAAAAGUGUACAAGCCAGGAAAAGUCCGCGAAGGCCCCUGUGGCUCUCGGUGCACAUGCCAAGAAGCUAAGUGGUCUUGCACUGAAGCUCGAUGUCCUGGGAUAUGUAAAGUAGAAGGGAGCUCCUUUACCACUUUUGAUGACAAUAAAUUUAGCCACCCUGGAGACUGCCACUUCUUGGCUGUCCAUAAUGAUGAAAUUUCUAUUAGCGUGGAGAUCCACCCAUGCGGGAAUGGUCAGACGGGAUCGUGUUUAACUAGUGUUAUGGUUCUCCAGAAUUCUUCUUCUUCAAGUAACAGAUAUGUGUUCAACCGUGAUGGGACAGUCACAAAGGAUGGAGUUAUAAUUAAAGGUUAUUACUAUUCAGAUGAUGUGCAGAUCUUCAAUUCAUCCUCUUCGUACAUGCAAGCAGAGAUUCUCUCACACAUAAAACUGCAAAUACAAUUGGCCCCUAGGAUGCAGUUGUAUGUGUCCUUGGCUCCUAACACAUCCACAGACACUGUAGGUCUUUGUGGUUCCUUCAACAAUAAGGCAGAAGAUGAUUUCAUGUCAAGUCAGAACAUUUUGGAGAGCACAGCUCAGGCAUUUGCUAACUCCUGGGAGAUGAUGCCUUGCUCUGAGGGAAGCCCCUCUUCCUGUGUCAGCAUUGAAACAGAGAAGUUUGCUGAAAGUAACUGUGAGAUUCUUCUCAGUUCAAGUGGGCCUUUUGCUGCUUGUCAUCAGACUGUGAACCCCAAAUUCUAUCAUGAGGAAUGCAAAAAAUAUACGUGCUCUUGUGAAAACGGUCAGGAUUGCCUGUGUACAGUCUUGGGGAACUAUGUGAAGGCAUGUGCUGAGAAGGAAAUAUACCUCGUGGGCUGGAGAGAUGGACUGUGUGAGGUGUCUUGUCCAAGUGGUCUUGUCUUCAACUACAAAGUAAAAACCUGCAACAGUUCUUGCCGAUCGCUGUCGGCACGAGACCGAAGCUGUGAUAUAGAAGACAUUCCGGUUGACGGAUGUACUUGCCCUGAUGGAAUGUACCAGAAUAAUGAAGGGAACUGUGUUCAGAAAUCUGAGUGUGACUGCUAUGUUAAUGAUGAGAUCGUGCAACCUGGCAAAUCGAUUCUUAUUGAUGACAAUAAGUGUGUCUGUCAGGAUGGAGUGCUUCAUUGCCAAACUCCCCUUGAUUUAACCCUACAAAACUGUUCCAGAGGGGCUGAAUACAUAGACUGCAAAGACCCCAAGGCCCAGAGAAGGACAGAAAGGACAUGUGCUACCCGGAACAUACCUGAUUUUGAGGGUGACUUGCCUUGCAAACGUGGGUGCUACUGUCCUGUAGGAAUGGUCCGUAACUCUAAAGGGAUAUGUAUACAUCCUGAUGACUGUCCCUGCUCUUUUGGUGACAGAGAAUAUGAACAGGGAAGUGUUACUUCUGUUGGCUGCAAUGAGUGUACUUGCAUAAAAGGGUCUUGGAACUGUACCCAGAAUGAGUGUCAAUCAACUUGCCAUGUCUACGGAGAAGGACAUUUCAGAACUUUUGAUGGAGAAAGUUACAGUUUCGACGGGCUCUGCCAGUAUACAUUCCUUGAGGAUUACUGUGGCCAAGAAAAUGGCACAUUCCGUAUUUUAAUCGAGAGUGUCCCCUGCUGUGAAAAUGGGCUUACUUGCUCCAGAAAAGUCAUCGUGACAUUCCAGGAUCAGAACAUCAUCUUACAAGACGGCAAAGUGACAGCAGUUCAAACUGCGGAGAGUACAGAUUGCAGGGAGCGUAGUGCGAACUUGUACUCGAUCCACACGGUUGGCCUGUACCUGAUUGUGAAGCUUCUGAACGGAAUUAUCCUGAUCUGGGACAAAUACACAAAAGUAUCGGUUAUCCUGGACCCAAGUUGGCAGAACAAAGUGUGUGGUCUUUGUGGAAACAACAAUGGUGACCUUAAGGAUGACUUCACAACAAGGCACUCUUCCGUAGCUGCCGGUGCACUGGAAUUUGCCAACAGCUGGAAAACAUCUCAGGAAUGUUCAGACACAGUAACUCAAAGCUUCCCGUGUGACUCGAACCCAUACUGCAAAGCCUGGGCUGAGAAGAGAUGUGAGAUCCUCAGGGAUGACACCUUCAGGGACUGCCAUAGCAAGGUGGACCCCACGACCUACUACGAUGCAUGUAUUGAAGAAGCCUGUUCAUGUGACAUGGAGGGGAAGUACCUUGGGUUCUGUACUGCUGUGGCAAUGUAUGCAGAGGCAUGCAAUGCAGCCGGAGUCUGUGUCUCAUGGAGAAAGCCAAACCUCUGCCCUGUGUACUGCGACUACUACAAUGCCCCCGGGGAAUGCAGCUGGCACUACGAACCCUGCGGUACAGUGACGGCCAAAACGUGCAAAGAUCAGGUCAUUGGCCAGAAGUUUUCCUCACUUUUAGAAGGCUGUUAUGCUAAGUGUCCAGAAAAUGCACCCUAUCUGGACGAGAACACUAUGAAGUGUGUCCAGUUAUCAGAGUGUAGCUGCUUCUACAACGAUGUCAUACCAGCAGGUGGCGCUGUUGUGGAUGACUGUGGAAGAACAUGCUCCUGCUCUGCCGGCGAGUUGGAGUGCAGUGAAACUCCUCCAAAUUCAACAACAACAACAACAGCAACAACAGCAGCAGUCUCUACGGCCACAACUACUUCCGUAUUAAGCACAUCAGCAGCAGCGACAAGGGCCAGCAGCUCGACCUCAGGAUCGGUAGAAACCUCAGUUCCUGCUACAACCUCAACCAGUAAAGCACAAGCACACAUCACC